UUAUACAUUUAUAUCACUAUAAUAGUAGAGGGAAUUAUGUUUUCCGUUACCAAAUGCAAAAUACAAAGUCUCCUAAAAUUAAAGUAGGGCUGAAUUGACAAAAAAGGAUUCAUUAUCUUAAAAGAAAACAGUUGUACUUCAGAAAUACGAAUGAGAACAAAAGAGUAUGUUCAUAUUAACAAAAAUUCACUUGAUAAAUUGUCAUUAAAACAUAUAGUAUAUAUAAAUCUGACCUUUGUGGUAACCCAGGCUUACCUGAGUGGGCAGAAAACAGGAUUAUUUUUGGAUCAUUAUUGACAAAAUAAUUCGAAUUGUCUGUUGUUCCAAAGGUUUUAUUAAAAUUACUCCCCAUAUGGUCAUUUCUUAGGAGUGACUGGAUGUUACUCGGUGUGGAUGAAAAGAGGAAACAGGAGAGAAUAUCAGUUUGGUGACACACACACCAGGGAACAACUCCAUAGGAAAAGGUUGUUGGACUCAGAAAAGUCAAGGAGAAACAUAAUCCUUUGCCAAAAUUCCUUAGAGAAAUGUACAUAAAGAUAAAUAUCACAUUAUAUCAUCUACAUGUAAACUCUCAAAAGGUUGCACAGAAUUGAUAUUCAACACAUAGAGCAAUUUCCAUCUCUCUAUAAAUAAUAAACAAGCUAGAGCUCUUCUUUUUAUGAAAGACUGAACUUUGUGCAUUUCUCUAUGAGUGGUAAACAAAGCAUGAUGAUUCUUCUUUUUAUGAAAGACUCCACUUUUUAAAGGAAUCAAACUUAUGCUGAAAGUUUCCCUAAGUUAGACCGUUAACUGGAGAUUCUUACUACAGAUCAGCCAUACAAACUUUCCCAAGAUCCCCAAACUCUUAUUUAGUGUAGGAAAUCUGUCUCUUCUGCUCCAGACUUGUGACUAGGCCAGGCAUGUUUUCUGUAUUCACUGAGGUUGUGGUAUAUAAAAUAGUUGAUCAGUACAAAAUUAUACUGCUCAUAUUUAUUUCAUUUGCCCUAUUCCCUUUUUAGCAAAACUGCCUUAAAAGA